CAUAAAGUGCGUCGUAGUCCGGAUUGGAGUCUGCAACUCGACUCCAUGAAGUCGGAAUCGCUAGUAAUCGUGGAUCAGAAUGCCACGGUGAAUACGUUCCCGGGCCUUGUACACACCGCCCGUCACACCAUGGGAGUGGGUUGCAAAAGAAGUAGGUAGCUUAACCUUCGGGAGGGCGCUUACCACUUUGUGAUUCAUGACUGGGGUGAAGUCGUAACAAGGUAACCGUAGGGGAACCUGCGGUUGGAUCACCUCCUU
rnacentral:rRNA from 1 species